rnacentral:lncRNA from 1 species
ACUAAAAACUUACUGUAUUUCUAAAUAGCAAAAUACUACCAGUUUGGAUAUUUAACAAUUGAAGGAUUUACAUUAAAUUUGUGGAUUUAAAUAUCUUUGAAGAGAGGAUUUAUAUUCUUUGGACAUACAAAAUUCAUUUUGGAUUUGUGAAUAAUUUGGAUUUAUCACUGAUUGGUUUUAGAUUUGACCAGGACAGUACUUGGGCUAUUUUAGGACACAAGAUUAGAUUUUACGGCUAUUUGACAUUUUUAAGAAAUGGUGACAACCUAUGAUAACUGGAAGUAUUGCAACAUAAAUCAUCACACGCAAGGAAGGCAGAUCAAUCAAAUGGUAUUUGUUUGAUGAAAAUGCUUUGGUGUUGAAUGUACUCUUGGUGCGUCAAGUUAAAACAACACAGAGUAAAUACACUGAUCAAACAAUUGAAGGAAAUAAGUCAACUGAUGUUUUGAAGAAUCGCAAGUGUCACGGACUUUACAUCUGGCGGCAGUUCAUGCAAAAUAAAAAUUAAAAGGACAUGUUAAGUGUAUUUUGUUAUAAUGAUGCGACCUUGACACAAUUAAGUUAACAAUAUAAGAUAUUUCAAAAUGUGUAGUUAUGUAGCUGAAAUACAUAAAUUUGCUUUUAAAGUGUACAAUUAACUUACAGCUUCCGGCGAAAGAGAUUUUCUACCAUAGCAUUAUAUAUGAUAACGUUGUAUAUUUCCGCGUUAAUGCAAACUUGGGUGCGAAGCAAAUAAUGAAGACAAGUUAUGGUCUUGUUUUCCACGUUCUCACCACUGCCGUACUGAGCAAACUUUAUGUAUAAGAAUUAAGGCGUGAUCAGCAUAGUAUUAAAUAUGUUGGUCAUUGUUCGAUUAUGAAUUGAACAGUUUACAUUGUAAAUUUAUGAAGAUAAUUUAACUAAUUCGAAAAGUUAGAAAUUCAAAUUAUUGCAUUAUAUAAAUGUGACCUAUUGUCAAAGGAAUAUAAAUAUAGACGAAAUUUAAGAGACAUAUUAUGGGGAAAUAUUU